UACAGAGGGUGCAAGCGUUGUUCGGAAUUAUUGGGCGUAAAGGGCGCGUAGGCGGUUCGGCAAGUCUCUAGUGAAAUCUCUGGGCUCAACUCAGAGUCUGCUGGGGAAACUGCCGGGCUUGAGUGUGGGAGAGGAGAGUGGAAUUCCCGGUGUAGCGGUGAAAUGCGUAGAUAUUGGGAGGAACACCAGUGGCGAAGGCGGCUCACUGGACCGGUACUGACGCUGA
rnacentral:rRNA from 1 species